ensembl:scaRNA
UGGAAAUGAUGAGGCAGAGAUAAUUGGGUGUUGAAUGUUGUGUGAUUGAAUAGUAUGUAAGUAAUUCACCUAAGUUAAUAGCUACUUGAUUGAGAGUGCGUGUGUGUGUGUGCGUGCGUGUGUGCUGGUGGAGGCUAUGGAAAGGGGGCACUGACUGGUGAUGCUGAUAUUGGAGUGCAUCUGAGGCUGUUGUAGAAAUACAUGGGUUGUUGAUUACAACAUUGCCAAUGAUUAUAAUCCAAGAACAGCUCACCUAAGUAGCCUAGCACCCUAAAAUCUCUAACAGGUUCAUUAAACAUGGUCCUGUGAUCUGAUCCAA